GAUGAACGCUGGCGGCGUGCCUAAUACAUGCAAGUCGAGCGAACAGAUAAGGAGCUUGCUCCUUUGACGUUAGCGGCGGACGGGUGAGUAACACGUGGGUAACCUACCUAUAAGACUGGAAUAACUCCGGGAAACCGGGGCUAAUGCCGGAUAACAUUUAGAACCGCAUGGUUCUAAAGUGAAAGAUGGUUUUGCUAUCACUUAUAGAUGGACCCGCGCCGGAUUAGCUAGUUGGUAAGGUAACGGCUUACCAAGGCAACGAUACGUAGCCGACCUGAGAGGGUGAUCGGGCACACUGGAACUGAGACACGGUCCAGACUCCUACGGGGGGCAGCAGUAGGGGAUCUGCCGCAAUGGGCGAAAGCCUGACGGGGCAACGCCGAGUGAGUGAUGAAGGUCUUCGGAUCGUAAAACUCUGUUAUUAGGGAAGAACAAAUGUGUAAGUAACUGUGCACGUCUUGACGGUACCUAAUCAGAAAGCCACGGCUAACUACGUG
rnacentral:rRNA from 1 species